rnacentral:rRNA from 1 species
CCCUUAGAUGUUCUGGGCCGCACGCGCGCUACACUGAUGCAUUCAACGAGUCUAAAACCUGCUCUGAUAGGGGUGGGUAAUCUUUUGAAUGUGCAUCGUGAUUGGGAUAGAUGAUUGCAAUUUUUCAUCUUCAACGAGGAAUGCCUAGUAAACGCAAGUCAUCAGCUUGCAUUGAUUACGUCCCUGCCCUUUGUACACACCGCCCGUCGCUCCUAUCGAUUGAAUGAUCCGAUGAAUAUCAUGGAUUGAGGAUGCAAGUAGGUUCGCCUAUCUUCAUCUUCGAGAAGUGAAGUAAAUCUUAUCAUUUAGAGGAAGGAGAAGUCGUAACA